rnacentral:rRNA from 1 species
GACGAACGCUGGCGGCGUGCUUAACACAUGCAAGUCGAACGGAAAGGCCCUGCUUUUGUGGGGUGCUCGAGUGGCGAACGGGUGAGUAACACGUGAGAAACCUGCCCCUGACUUUGGGAUAACUUCAGGAAACUGGGGCUAAUACCGGAUAGGAGCUCCUGCUGCAUGGUGGGGGUUGGAAAGUUUCGGCGGUUGGGGAUGGACUCGCGGCUUAUCAGCUUGUUGGUGGGGUAGUGGCUUACCAAGGCUUUGACGGGUAGCCGGCCUGAGAGGGUGACCGGCCACAUUGGGACUGAGAUACGGCCCAGACUCCUACGGGAGGCAGCAGUGGGGAAUAUUGCACAAUGGGCGGAAGCCUGAUGCAGCAACGCCGCGUGCGGGAUGACGGCCUUCGGGUUGUAAACCGCUUUCGCCUGUGACGAAGCGUGAGUGACGGUAAUGGGUAAAGAAGCACCGGCUAACUACGUG